AACGAACGCUGGCGGCAUGCCUAACACAUGCAAGUCGAACGAGACCUUCGGGUCUAGUGGCGCACGGGUGCGUAACGCGUGGGAACCUGCCCUUAGGUUCGGAAUAACUCCCCGAAAGGGGUGCUAAUACCGGAUAAUGUCUUCGGACCAAAGAUUUAUCGCCUUUGGAUGGGCCCGCGUUGGAUUAGCUAGUUGGUAGGGUAAAAGCCUACCAAGGCGACGAUCCAUAGCUGGUCUGAGAGGAUGAUCAGCCACACUGGGACUGAGACACGGCCCAGACUCCUACGGGAGGCAGCAGUGGGGAAUAUUAGACAAGGGGCGAAAGCCUGAUCCAGCAAUGCCGCGUGAGUGAUGAAGGCCUUAGGGUUGUAAAGCUCUUUUACCCGGGAUGAUAAUGACAGUACCGGGAGAAUAAGCUCCGGCUAACUCCGUG
rnacentral:rRNA from 1 species